rnacentral:tRNA from 1 species
GGGAUGGUGGCUCAGUGGUAGAGUGCUUGCCUUGCAUGCAUGAGGCCCUGGGUUCAAUUCCUCAGCAUUACA